rnacentral:rRNA from 1 species
ACGGAAGGCAGCAGUGGGGAAUAUUAGGCAAUGGGGGGAACCCUGACCUAGCAACGCCGCGUGAAGGAUGAAGGUUUUCGGAUUGUAAACUUCUUUGGCAGGGGACGAUAAUGACGGUACCCUGGGAACAAGCCACGGCUAACUACGUGCCAGCAGCCGCGGUAAUACGUAGGUGGCGAGCGUUGUCCGGAUUUACUGGGUGUAAAGGGCGAGUAGGCGGGAAUGCAAGUCAGAUGUGAAAUACCGAGGCUUAACCUCGGAGCUGCAUCUGAAACUGCAUUUCUUGAGUGAUGGAGAGGCAGGCGGAAUUCCCGGUGUAGCGGUGAAAUGCAUAGAGAUCGGGAGGAACACCAGUGGCGAAGGCGGCCUGCUGGACAUUAACUGACGCUGAGGCGCGAAAGUGUGGGGAGCAAACAGGAUUAGAUACCCUGGUA